rnacentral:rRNA from 1 species
AGCGAACGCUGGCGGCAGGCUUAACACAUGCAAGUCGAGCGCCCCGCAAGGGGAGCGGCAGACGGGUGAGUAACACGUGGGAACGUACCCUUUGGUUCGGAACAACCCAGGGAAACUUGGGCUAAUACCGGAUACGUCCGUAAGGAGAAAGAUUUAUCGCCAAAGGAUCGGCCCGCGUCUGAUUAGCUAGUUGGUGAGGUAAUGGCUCACCAAGGCUACGAUCAGUAGCUGGUCUGAGAGGAUGAUCAGCCACAUUGGGACUGAGACACGGCCCAAACUCCUACGGGAGGCAGCAGUGGGGAAUAUUGGACAAUGGGGGCAACCCUGAUCCAGCCAUGCCGCGUGAGUGAUGAAGGCCCUAGGGUUGUAAAGCUCUUUUAGCAGGGAAGAUAAUGACGGUACCUGCAGAAAAAGCCCCGGCUAACUUCGUGCCAGCAGCCGCCGUAACAC